GAUGAAGAACGUAGCGAAAUGCGAUAAGUAAUGUGAAUUGCAGAAUUCAGUGAAUCAUCGAAUCUUUGAACGCACAUUGCGCCCGCCAGUAUUCUGGCGGGCAUGCCUGUUCGAGCGUCAUUUCAACCAUCAAGCCCCCGGCUUGUGUUGGGGACCUGCGGCUGCCGCAGGCCCUGAAAACCAGUGGCGGGCUCGCUAGUCACUCCGAGCGUAGUAAUACAUCUCGCUCAGGGCGUGCUGCGGGUUCCGGCCGUUAAAAGCCUUAUUUACCCAAGGUUGACCUCGGAUCAGGUAGGAAGACCCGCUGAACUUAAGCAUAUCAAUAAACGGAGGA
rnacentral:misc_RNA from 1 species